AGCUUGUGAAAGGCGAAGAAAAAGAACUUAUGGUGCAGGAGGCUUGAGGUUAAAUAGUUCAUCUUUAGGAGCAGUGUUACAAUUGUUGGAAGAUAAAAUAGAUCACAAUGGCGGGACGUGGAAGAGGAAGAGGAAAGCCUACUAUGUCCAUUAGUACAGAACAGCUGGGAUUUUCCAAGGGAGAAGCUCUGCCACCUCCAGUUUUACAGCCUCCACCAAAGUAUCCUCCUCUGGAAUAUAAACCGUUGCCUUUGACCAUCGCGAAAGAAAUGAGUUACUUGUUGGAACUCAAGAGAGAAUUCGCAGAAUAUAUGAGGGAAUCUCCGAAUAAUGUUUUGCCACUAGUAAUUAAAAAGGAUAUUGAAAGAUACUCUGACAGGUAUCAAGAUUUAAUAACAGACAAAAGCACUUAUGAUAUCAGGUAUGAUUGGAGCAGAAUGCCAGCAGAGUUGAAGCCUCAGAUGAAGAAACGCAAAGGACAGAAGAUAUCGAAGCCGAAGAAGAAGAAGAAAAAGAAUGUGGACAUUGACACUAAACUACAGGAGUUAGAAAAGAAGGAGACUACUCAGCAAAGCGAUGUGGAGGAGGAAGAGAAAGAGGAGGAAGAAACGGAAGACAAAGACGAUGAACAGGUCGAGGACGAGGAAGAGGAGCUGGAUGAGGAAAUGGACGAAGGAACGGACUACGUAAACAAUUACUUCGAUAACGGAGAGGGUUACGACGACGAAGAUGAUAAUUUAGAUGAUGGACCUAUUUAUUAACAUAUAAGUUUUUAUAAGAAUUGGAAAUUCAUCUCGCGGUUCUCGAUCACCGGACUAGGAUACUUACAAGCUGCUAGUUGAGCACUGCACGGCAAUGUUAUCUGUUCUUCCCUAAUAAUUCCAUCGAAGAAACUGGCAUCGAACGAUGAACUGAGGCGGAC
rnacentral:misc_RNA from 1 species